GAGAAACUGAGAGGAAUGUGUUUUGUCUUUCAAAUUUUAAAUCAACUUCCUUUUAUUAUACUUUAACCCAUAAACGUUUAAAUCUUUUCACCCUAUCCUUUUUUGCUGCUUUAAUUAUACUUAAGUGUGCCACAUCAGAUUUUUAAACCCAACAAAAAAUCAAAAACCUUUUCAAGGUUAUAUUCUCAAUUCGAAACUUGGGAAGACAUAUCGGUUAAAUUUCCUCAAAAGAAACAGAGGGCUAAGUUGUCUGCUCGAAUGGCUUCUGGAGAAUUUACAGUAAAGCCAUCUGGGCAUGUUUAGUUUUGAGCUAUGAAUUUUGAGGUUUGUGACAUUGUUUUCCAUCAGUAAUUCAGUAUUGAGGAAUGGCUUGUCGAAAUUGGGUGUUCCUCGUGAAAUUUUGGGAGUUCUAUUUAAUCGGAUUGAUGCUAAUGAAGACUAUCCAAAGAUCCCGGAAGCAAAAGGGCAGAUUAGUGCUAUUCGAAUUGAGGCAUUCUUCAUUCCUUGUAUGAGCUUUACAUCACAUAUGGUGGAAUUUUCGGUUCAACAUUUGGACCAAAGAUUUUUGAUACAGGAAUCCAUCAAGAAUCUCUCAAGAAGUUGCCAGCCUUUAUGUUUUUCCAUGAAUCUGUCAUAUUUUUGUUGCAGCAGGUGGUGGUGGAUUUGGAGGUUUCGGCGGCCAACAAGGAUCAGCUUUUGGUGGGGUUGCUAGAGGAAUUGGAAAUUGAUUUGGCUGUGUUUUUUGACGGGCAGAAAGUGUAUUUAGUUAGAAAAGGUUGGCAGGAUCCAUGGAAUCUUUAGAGUAGGGACUGAAAGUAUAUUUAGUUGAGGCAAAAUUGACCUAUUUUGGUAGGUUGUUAUUUUGGGAAUUACUAGAACU